AAAUCUGUGAGGUAUGCAAAUAUUUAAAAAAAAAUGACUUCCUUUUUUUCUACGCACUUUCAAAUCUUUCGGUCGCAUUCCAUCAAAGAGAGCGAUACACGCACGCAAACAAACAAACAAACUUUUACCAACACAGGAUGACGAAAAAACGAAAAAUAAUAAAGAAAUAAAAGUGAAUCUACAAAAUUGAAAUGGCAAAGCGGAAAUAACUGUGUAAAAUGCCCUACGCAACGAGAAAUUACGACCGAUGUUUGAAGAUGAUGAUGACGAUAAAAAAAAUUUCUCUAAAACUUGAUGAAAGCAAA